CGGAGGGUGCAAGCGUUAUCCGGAUUUACUGGGUUUAAAGGGUGCGCAGGCGGAUAUGUAAGUCAGUGGUGAAAUCUCCGGGCUUAACCCGGAAAUUGCCGUUGAUACUAUAUAUCUUGAAUGCUGUGGAGGUAAGCAGAAUAUGUCAUGUAGCGGUGAAAUGCUUAGAUAUGACAUAGAAUACCUAUUGCGAAGGCAGCUUACUACGCAGAUAUUGACGCUCAUGCGCGAAAGCGUGGGGAUCAAACAGGAUUAGAUACCCUGGUAGUCCACGCCCUAAACGAUGAUUACUCGACAUACGCGAUACACAGUGUGUGUCUGAGCGAAAGCAUUAAGUAAUCCACCUGGGAAGUACGAUCGCAAGAUUG
rnacentral:rRNA from 1 species